UACAGAGGGUGCAAGCGUUAAUCGGAAUUACUGGGCGUAAAGCGCGCGUAGUCGGUUAUUUAAGUCGGGUGUGAAAGCCCCGGGCUCAACCUGGGAAUUGCAUUCGAUACUGGAUAGCUAGAGUUCGGCAGAGGGAAGCGGAAUAUCCGGUGUAGCGGUGAAAUGCGUAGAUAUCGGAAGGAACAUCAGUGGCGAAAGCGGCUUCCUGGACCAGAACUGACGAUCAGGCUCGAAAGCGUGGGAAGCAAACAGG
rnacentral:rRNA from 1 species